rnacentral:lncRNA from 1 species
CUCACACGCAAUCAAUCGCCAAGCUAGAAUCCCAAAUGGGGCAACUAGCUAAUGCACUGAACAAGCAAGAGGAAGGAAAUCUUCCAAGCUAACCACUAAGUAAUCCUAGGGGACAAUACAUGGCUCAAGAAAAUCAACUAAAUACAAUUCAUCAUGAACAAGCCAAUGCUUUGACUACCCUACGGAGUGGACGUGUAGUAGACAAUAAGAUUGGGGAGGAUAACAAUAAGGAAGGUGAAGAAGAGGAUAGAAAUGUGUCAAAUGAAAAUCUAAAA